UACGUAGGGCGCGAGCGUUGUCCGGAUUUAUUGGGCGUAAAGAGCUCGUAGGCGGCUUGUUGCGUCGGCUGUGAAAACCCGCAGCUCAACUGUGGGCUUGCAGCCGAUACGGGCAGACUAGAGUGCUGUAGGGGAGACUGGAAUUCCUGGUGUAGCGGUGAAAUGCGCAGAUAUCAAGAGGAACACCGAUGGCGAAGGCGGGUCUCUGGGCAGUAACUGACGCUGAGGAGCGAAAGCGUGGGGAGCAAACAGG
rnacentral:rRNA from 1 species